UGUUGAGGGGUGAAGCCAGCUGGACAUCCUGGGUCAAGUGGGGACUUGGAGGACUUUUCUGUCUUACAAGAGGAUUGUAAAAUGCAUGAAUCAGCAGUCUGUAGCUAGGAUUGCAAAAUGCCUCAAUCAGCACUCUGUGGCUAGCUAGAGCUUUGUAAAAUUGGACCGAUCAGCACUCUGUAAAAUGGACCAAUCAGUAGGAUGUGGGCAGAGACAAAUAAGGCAAUAAAAGCUGGCCACCCCAGUGAGCAGCAGCAACCUGCUUGGACCCCCUUUCACGCUGUGGAAACUUUGUUCUUUCGCUCUUCACAAUAAAUCUUUCUGCUGCUCACUCUUUGGGUCUGUGUCAUCUUUAAGAGCUAUAACACUCACCGCGAAGGUCUGCAGCUCCAUUCUGGAAGUCAGUGAGACCACGAACCCACCAGAAGGAACAAACUCCGGACACAUCUUGGAAACUAUGAAGGGACUAUCGCCAAGUGGAUUGAUGCCAUCAAGCUACAGAUGGUCUUACAAAUGGAACACCAAAUGAGCUCUACUAACAAUUUCUACUGUGGACCACUGGACUGACCCACUGACCCUUUGGCUGGCCUAGAGAGAUCUGCUCUGUAGGACACUACCACUGCCACUGCAGGGCCCCUUCUUUGCCUCUAUCCAACAGGAAGUAGCUAGAGUGGUCAUCACCCAAUUCCCAACAGCAGUUAGGGUGUCCUGUUUAGAGGGGGGAUUGAGCGAUGAAGCCAGCCGGACUUCCUGGGUUGAGUGGGGUCUUGGAGAACUUUUCUGUCAUACAAGAGGUUUGUAAAACACACCAAUCAGUGUUCUGUGGCUAGCUAGAGGUUUGUAAAGUGCUCCAAUCAGUGCUCUGUAAAAACGCACCAAUCAGCGCUCUGUGGCUAGCUAGAGGUUUGUAAAAUAGACCAAUCAGCACUCUGUAAAAUGGACCAAUCAGCAGGAUGUGGGCAGGGACAAAUGAGGGAAUAAAAGCUGGCCACCCCAGCCAGCAGUGGUAAGCCACUCGGGUCCCCUUCCACGCUGUGGAAGCUUUGUUCUUUUGCUCUUCACAAUAAAUCUUGCUGCUGUUCUCUCUUUGGGUCUGUGCCAUCUUUAAGAGCUGUAACACUCACUGCGAAGGUCCACGGUGCAUUCUUGAAGUCAGUGAGACCGCAAACCCACCAGAAGGAACAAACUCCAGACACACUGUCAUAGGUCUUAGUUCCAAAGGAAGGAAUGCUUUCACUAGGGGACACAACAAUGAUUCUAUAUAACUCAUGUUAAAACUGCUGCUCUGCCACUUUGUUCUCCUCAUGUCUCUGAGUCAGCAGGCAAGGAAAAGAAGAGAGUUACUGUUUUGGCUGGGGUAAUUGAUCUUGACUACCAAGAAGAACAUGGAUGGAUACUCCACAAUGGAG
rnacentral:lncRNA from 10 species